UACGUAGGGUGCAAGCGUUAAUCGGAAUUACUGGGCGUAAAGGGCGCGUAGGCGGGAUGGCAAGUCAGUCGUGAAAUCUCUCGGCUCAACCGAGAAACGUCGGCUGAUACUGCCGUUCUUGAGGGAUGCAGAGGAGACUGGAAUUCCCGGUGUAGCGGUGAAAUGUGUAGAGAUCGGGAGGAACACCGGUGGCGAAGGCGGGUCUCUGGGCAUCUCCUGACGCUGAGGCGCGAAAGCGUGGGGAGCAAACGGG
rnacentral:rRNA from 1 species